rnacentral:rRNA from 1 species
GAGGAAUAUUGCGCAAUGGGGGAAACCCUGACGCAGCAACGCCGCGUGAGUGAAGAAGGCUUUCGGGUUGUAAAGCUCUGUCGGGUGGGAAGAAACUUCCCCAGGUAAAUAGCCUGGAGAACUGACGGUACCACCGAAGGAAGCACCGGCUAACUCCGUGCCAGCAGCCGCGGUAAGACGGAGGGUGCAAGCGUUGUUCGGAAUCACUGGGCGUAAAGCGCGUGUAGGCGGUCUGAUCAGUCGAGUGUGAAAGCCCGAGGCUCAACUUCGGAAGUGCACUCGAAACUUUCAGGCUUGAGUACGGGAGAGGGAAGUGGAAUUCCUGGUGUAGAGGUGAAAUUCGUAGAUAUCAGGAGGAACACCGGUGGCGAAGGCGGCUUCCUGGACCGAUACUGACGCUGAGACGCGAAAGCGUGGGGAGCAAAC